rnacentral:lncRNA from 1 species
AAGUGUUCAGAAGAUGCAGCACUUAAACAUUUUUAAGAUUAAUGUGACAGCAUGAGAAUCAAGAGUCUACUUUCCUGGCUGUAAGUAAAAAGGUAAAAUAGAAGAAAAGUCAAAGCAAAAGAAAAUUGAAGCAUGGGAAACAGAAAUAACUGCUUUUCUUCACUGCUCCUCUGAUAGUCCAUAUGGGGAAGGAAAAAUAGAAACCAUUCCUGUCAGUCCCGAAGUUGCGCCGACAGUCAGACAUAUACACAAUUUCUGCACUCUGUCUUUCUAAAAAGGGACUGGAGUCCUCACUGCACACACGGGCAGAAGAUGUGGAUGACAAUCCCUGACUCAUGAGCCCUUGUGAUCAUCUCUGAAGUAAUGGUUUCCAAAUGAAUAUCUGGACUGCUGCU